rnacentral:miRNA from 1 species
GCAGACACAUUCCAUCCAAUCAGCAGCAGACCCUCCCUCCCAGACCCUCCCACCUCCUGGACGGCAUCCAUUUUACAUUCAUUGUGAAGCUGCAUUCUUAGUGAGCUGUCCAGGAGGUGGGAGGGUCUGGGAGGGAGGGUCUGCUGCUGAUUGGCUGGAAUGUGUCUG